GCUCUUAAAAUAAAUAAAAAGAGAAAAAAACUGGGAACAUGAAACAGACCUUUGUCACUCGUUCUUCACCUCUCUCCGCUUCGUUAAUCGCCGGUGGAAGAUUACCAGCUUUUUCGCUACAGUAGUCGUCGAAAAUUUGGGGUUUUUAUCGUGGUCGCCGCUCUCUCUCUUUUUCUCCUAGGGUUUUUUUUCCGUCCAGUUUUUCUAGGUUUUCGUCGCCGCUCCUAAAAAACCCCCUUUUUUCUACAGCAUCCGCCCCUUUUUAUACCCAAUCCGUUAGGGUUUUCAGGUUGGCUUAUGAAGAUCGAAACAGGUAUCUCUGCGAAACCCUUUCGGUGUGCUCAGUUUGGAUUGCCCUAUUUGAUGUUAAAUUCGGAAACGGUAAUACAAACCGUGUACUUUCUUCCUCUACUUUGUCUCAAUUCUCUUUUGGGUAUUUUUUGAAUUUUAACUGCCUUGCUAAUUACUUGGUUUUACUGCAGUGAAAAUUGGUGGAAAGAAAAACUUCAGUUAUUUGCAAAGCUCAACUAUUACUGCUGUUAUGAACUCCUAGGUGUGAAGAAGUGCUAGUGUUAUGCUUAUUAAUCUCUGCAGGAUAUUGACGGCAUGAUGCGUUACAUGUGUGUGGUGUGAGGUUACUGUCAUGGUUGUUUUUUCCAGCAGGGUCAUGGCAGGGUUUGUUGCGUGUUGCAUAACAUGUAACACGAUUGCUUGUAAAUGAUAUGUCACAAGAUCAUGUUGGAUGAAUGGUUCGAUGAACACUUAUGCUAGAGCAGUAAUAGGUUUGACGGACAUGACCUUGAACAUGGGCAAUGUUGCCCGCAAAUGAAGAAACACGGUAAAAGCAAACCAACAUGACUCUUGGAUGAUGAACCAAGGAAAGCUGGAUGGGAUUUAUGCGAAACAUGGUUAUAUAUUGGUUGUGAUUUUGGAUGAAAUUUGGGAAUUGGUUGAAAAUGUGUUGAAGUUAGUUGUAGGUUGAAGGUUCUGUUAGGAGGAGGAAAAUCAGUUGGUGUUUUUUUUUUAAAAAUGGUUAGAUUAGUUGUGAGGAGUUUGAAAUGAAGGUUUACUGUUAUGAAUUAUUGUGUUUACAACGAUUCUUUUUCUGUUUGGAAAAAUGCAGGGCUUGCUUGGAAUCUUGGAUGAUAAAACGCAAUGGAGCUGUUUCGGACUUUGUCGUAUUGGCUCAUGUUGUGUAAUAGUAGAAGUGUAUGAGAUUAUUGAAUUUGAAGUGUGAUGAAACGGUUGUAAUGGUUAAGUAGUUUAUGAGAUGUAUGUGGUAAUGUUACCUUGUAACCUUGGAUUAGAAAUUGUAGUGGUUGUAUAGUGGUAUUGGUUUAGAAAUAAACAUGUAAUUAGGUUUUGGAUACUGAUUGUGUAAUAGGAUUGUAUAUAG